rnacentral:rRNA from 1 species
AUGCGUUGUUGGGUAGGGGAGCGUUCUGUAAGCCUGUGAAGGUGUGCUGUGAGGCAUGCUGGAGGUAUCAGAAGUGCGAAUGCUGACAUAAGUAACGAUAAAGCGGGUGAAAAGCCCGCUCGCCGGAAGACCAAGGGUUCCUGUCCAACGUUAAUCGGGGCAGGGUGAGUCGACCCCUAAGGCGAGGCCGAAAGGCGUAGUCGAUGGGAAACAGGUUAAUAUUCCUGUACUUGGUGUUACUGCGAAGGGGGGACGGAGAAGGCUAUGUUGGCCGGGCGACGGUUGUCCCGGUUUAAGCGUGUAGGCUGGUUUUCCAGGCAAAUCCGGAAAAUCAAGGCUGAGGCGUGAUGACGAGGCACUACGGUGCUGAAGCAACAAAUGCCCUGCUUCCAGGAAAAGCCUCUAAGCAUCAGGUAACAUCAAAUCGUACCCCAAACCGACACAGGUGGUCAGGUAGAGAAUACCAAGGCGCUUGAGAGAACUCGGGUGAAGGAACUAGGCAAAAUGGUGCCGUAACUUCGGGAGAAGGCACGCUGAUAUGUAGGUGAAGUCCCUCGCGGAUGGAGCUGAAAUCAGUCGAAGAUACCAGCUGGCUGCAACUGUUUAUUAAAAACACAGCACUGUGCAAACACGAAAGUGGACGUAUACGGUGUGACGCCUGCCCGGUGCCGGAAGGUUAAUUGAUGGGGUCAGCGCAAGCGAAGCUCUUGAUCGAAGCCCCGGUAAACGGCGGCCGUAACUAUAACGGUCCUAAGGUAGCGAAAUUCCUUGUCGGGUAAGUUCCGACCUGCACGAAUGGCGUAAUGAUGGCCAGGCUGUCUCCACCCGAGACUCAGUGAAAUUGAACUCGCUGUGAAGAUGCAGUGUACCCGCGGCAAGACGGAAAGACCCCGUGAACCUUUACUAUAGCUUGACACUGAACAUUGAGCCUUGAUGUGUAGGAUAGGUGGGAGGCUUAGAAGUGUGGACGCCAGUCUGCAUGGAGCCGACCUUGAAAUACCACCCUUUAAUGUUUGAUGUUCUAACGUUGACCCGUAAUCCGGGUUGCGGACAGUGUCUGGUGGGUAGUUUGACUGGGGCGGUCUCCUCCUAAAGAGUAACGGAGGAGCACGAAGGUUGGCUAAUCCUGGUCGGACAUCAGGAGGUUAGUGCAAUGGCAUAAGCCAGCUUGACUGCGAGCGUGACGGCGCGAGCAGGUGCGAAAGCAGGUCAUAGUGAUCCGGUGGUUCUGAAUGGAAGGGCCAUCGCUCAACGGAUAAAAGGUACUCCGGGGAUAACAGGCUGAUACCGCCCAAGAGUUCAUAUCGACGGCGGUGUUUGGCACCUCGAUGUCGGCUCAUCACAUCCUGGGGCUGAAGUAGGUCCCAAGGGUAUGGCUGUUCGCCAUUUAAAGUGGUACGCGAGCUGGGUUUAGAACGUCGUGAGACAGUUCGGUCCCUAUCUGCCGUGGGCGCUGGAGAACUGAGGGGGGCUGCUCCUAGUACGAGAGGACCGGAGUGGACGCAUCACUGGUGUUCGGGUUGUCAUGCCAAUGGCACUGCCCGGUAGCUAAAUGCGGAAGAGAUAAGUGCUGAAAGCAUCUAAGCACGAAACUUGCCCCGAGAUGAGUUCUCCCUGACUCCUUGAGAGUCCUGAAGGAACGUUGAAGACGACGACGUUGAUAGGCCGGGUGUGUAAGCGCAGCGAUGCGUUGAGCUAACCGGUACUAAUGAACCGUGAGGCUUAACCUU